rnacentral:rRNA from 1 species
AGAACGAACGCUGGCGGCAUGCCUAAUACAUGCAAGUCGAACGAACACUUCGGUGUUAGUGGCGCACGGGUGCGUAACGCGUGGGAAUCUGCCCUUGGGUUCGGAAUAACAGUUGGAAACGACUGCUAAUACCGGAUGAUAUCGAAAGAUCAAAGAUUUAUCGCCCAGGGAUGAGCCCGCGUAGGAUUAGCUAGUUGGUGAGGUAAAGGCUCACCAAGGCGACGAUCCUUAGCUGGUCUGAGAGGAUGAUCAGCCACACUGGGACUGAGACACGGCCCAGACUCCUACGGGAGGCAGCAGUAGGGAAUAUUGGACAAUGGGCGCAAGCCUGAUCCAAGCAAUGCCGCGUGAGUGAUGAAGGCCUUAGGGUUGUAAAGCUCGUUUUACCCGAGAUGAUAAUGACAGUAUCGGAGAACAACGCCCGGACUAACGUACCCGUAGCCAAGACCAGCCCGGAC